rnacentral:misc_RNA from 1 species
GCCAUCAUGGGUUCCCCGCCAAGCCGUCGGCCCUUGCGUGGGACCCCCAGCUCCGCCUCCUGGCCAUCGGCACCAAGGCGGGCGAGGUCAGAGUGUACGGGCAGCCGGGCGUCGAGAUGUACGGGCAGCGCGAGGAUUCGGAGGCGGCCAUCACCCACCUCACCUUCCUCAAGGGACAGUGCCGCCUGGUGUCACUGUUCGAAGACAACAGUCUACACCUAUGGCAGUUAAACCAGCAGGAUGACUCUGGCGGUUCGUUGGAAUUAGUUCAUGCUAACUCCACGUGCUUAGAGGGAAAGUUGAAAAAGAUUAGUGUGGUAGUGGCAGACAGCAAGAGCGAACACUUGAUGGUUGGCACAGAGGGCGGUAACAUCUACCUGCUCAACCUAGCAACUUUUGCCAUGUCCGACAAUAUUAUUUACCAAGAUGUAGUCAUGCAGAAUGUUCCUGAGGAUUACAAAGUUAACCCUGGUCCAGUAGAGGCAAUUGCAGAACACCCCACAGAACCUGACAAGAUCCUAAUUGGCUAUCAGCGUGGCCUCAUUGUGUUGUGGGACAAGAAGAAUCUGUGCGCUGAUCAGACAUACGUAUGUACUCAACAACUAGAAUCUGUGUGCUGGCAUCCAGAUGCAAGUCAGUUUACGACAUCUCAUAAUGAUGGCAGCUAUAUGGUCUGGUCAUCCACCGAAUCAUCUGAACCUGUUGAUGGCCCACAGACUGUGUAUGGGCCUUUUCCUUGCAAACCUAUCACCAAAAUUCUAAGACCGGCAACUAAAGAAGGUGACCUCAUUAUUUUUGGGGGAGGUAUGCCCAGGGCAAGCUAUGGCGACCGCAAUACAGUGACUGCCAUGCAGGGAGAAUUCCAUUACACUUUCAAUCUUACUUCUAGAGUCAUUGACUUUGUUGUAGUUGAUGAUGAUGAAAGUGGCCAAGCAGGUUGUCUGGUGAUUCUAGCUGAAGAGGAGGUAGUCUUCAUAGAUCUCUUGACGGAAGAAUGGCCAUCGUUUGCAGCUCCUUACUUGGCAUCUCUACACUCCUCUGCCAUUACCUGUUUGUGCUUUGUUUCGGGAAUAAUGCCGGAUCUUUAUGAAAAAAUAAAGGAAGCAGGAUCCAAGCAACAGGUUGGUUUAUCCACACGUCCUUGGCCAAUCAAUGGUGGAAUCUUGCAAAGUUCUGACCCGCCCAAACAACGAGAUCUUCUCCUAACAGGUCAUGAAGACGGUACUGUACAAUUUUGGGAUGCAUCUGGAGUUUCUCUGACGCACCUGUACAAAUUCACAACGGCAAAGCUCUUUGUGUCAGAAGACCUCGCUGGAGAUGGGGCAGCUGCUGAAGAUGAUGAUUGGCCUCCGUUUAGAAAAGCAGGGUUGUUUGACCCUUACAGUGAUGAUCCUCGUCUUGGUAUCAAGAAGAUGGAGAUGUGUGCAUACACAGGGACUCUUGUUGUAGCGGGCACAGCAGGUCAAGUCCUUAUCCUUAAUAUUAACAUGGAAGAGAAGGAACUUAUACCUGAGGCUGUAGAUGUAAAUUUGGUAGCUGAAACUGACAACUUUGUCUGGAAGAGUCAUAGCAAACUGGAUAUGCAGAACGAAGCUGUUAAGUUUGAGGCUGGCAUGCAGCCCACAGCAGUUGUACAGUUUUAUCCUCCAGCUUCCUGUACGUCUUUGACCCUAAACAGCGAAUGGGGUCUUGUUGCUUGUGGUACAGCUCAUGGAUUUGCACUCUUUGACAUUAUUCAGAAGAAGAACUUGCUUGCCAAAAGUACUUUAAGCCCUCUAGACUUAGCCAACACAGCUGAUGAAGGACCAAUGUCCAGGAGAAAAUCCCUCAAGAAGUCUCUACGAGAGUCAUUCCGCAGAUUACGUCGUGGAAGAUCCCAAAGAAAAACAGGAAAGCCAGGUGCCACUUCACCAACAGGGGCACAUCCACAAAGUGCUGGAGGUGGAGGGGCAGCAGCAGAUGAUGAUGGGUUGAAGCCUGUGGAGAGAGCCAUUGAAGCACGCUCACAGACCAGUGACUACAUUGGAUCUAUGGUUCGUUGUUUGCAUCUAACAAAAUGCUUCAUUGCCAACACUCAGCUGAUGUCUGCAACUUUAUGGGCGGGCACCAACAGUGGUGCCAUCUUCGUCUUCACGAUUGCUAUUCCACCCUCUGAGAAGCGCAGUGAGAUCCCACUAAGUGUCCAGAUUGGCAAAGAAAUCCACCUCAAACACGGCGCGCCCGUCAUCAGCAUAUGUGUCCUUGAUGGAGCAAAUCGACCCUUCCCUGAACCCAUGGCAGUGAAGAAGGAGGCUGCCCCUGCGCCAAAUCCCAAUAUGCCACAUAGAGUGUUGAUAUGCUCUGAAGAACAGUUCAAGGUGUUCACUCUACCACAGCUAAAGCCUUUCUGCAAGUUCAAACUCACUGCACAUGAGGGAUCAAGAGUACGGAAGAUUGGCUAUGCAGACUUUGUUUCAACAGCUGAUGAGAGCUAUCGGGAAGCAGGCUUUAUGAUAAUGUCUAAUCUUGGGGACUUUUCCUUGUAUUCCCUGCCUGAUUGUCGAAGACAGAUGCAAGUGGCAUAUAUUAAGCGGGAAGAUAUCAAUGGUAUCAAUAGUGUGGUCUUUAGUAAUCGUGGUGAGGCAUUGUAUAUGAUGUCACCAUGUGAGCUUCAGAGAGUGUCCCUGUCUGCACGGCACAUCACUAGACCUUGUGGCACCAUACCUGUGGUCAAACCAGAACCAGUAGAAGAAAAAAUUGAAGAGGCAGCUAAAGAAAAGCCAGCAAGUGAAGGCCCUACUGGAGAGGAUGGAGCUAGCUCUGCAGCCCCAGAAACUCAGGGGGAAUCAGCAGCUACUAAUGAAAAAGAGGGUGAAAGUGGAACAGCCAAAGAGGAGAAGCCUGCAGGGGAGGCCAUUGGAGGGACGGUGAACAAGAAAGUGGAAGAAGUAAAAGAGAAUGGUGACAGCAGUGUCCUCAGCGGUGACAUAACCAUUGACUCCAUUCGUGACCACAUAGUCGUCAUCCAUUCAAGUAGUUGAGACGGCGGCAUCGGCAGUCAACCACAGUGCAGUGAAUGGAACGGAGUAACAGUCAACUAAGAAGAGAGCACCAUUAGCCAAGGCUGAGUCCUUCUUCAGCAAGGAGCCAAGAGUCGUGAAGGAAGAGUAAUUGUUGUCAAUAGAUUACAUAAGCCUCACUUUGUAGGACAAAGUACCAGUGAUUGGUAGUUUUAUGAAACCCUUUAGAGGACUUUUUUUUCAGGCCCAUUGUUUGCACUUUUAUAUGGAGAAUGCAUUUAAAUGGAAGUAGAUACAUGAUGGGGUUGGACAUUCUUUCAACUUGAAUAAGGUAGAUUAUUACAAGAUACAUCUUUUUCCCCAUUUCUUGUUUUUUCAGUUUUUAAAUUUUUUAUUUGAUUUUUUUUCCUUUCAUUUCUACUGGAGGUAGUUGUUAUUUUUAUAAGAAGUGAUUGAGAGAUGUCUGAUUUUAACUUUGUGAAGCAACAUUGCUGUGAGGUUUGAAUAAAGUCGCUGAAGUGUGCAACUUCAAAGAGGUGAAAAAAAUUAUAUAGAUAUCAGUAAACAAGCCAAAAUACCCAAAUUACUUCUAUAAGUAACUGAAUUGCCAAAUACCUUUUUCUGAUUUGCAGUGCCUUGCGGUCUCAUGUACUUCUAUUACUCAUAUAUACUGUGAACACAUCAGAGCUUUUUGUUUUGUUGUUAAUGUAUUGAUUAAUUUUUUUUUUUUUGUUUCUAAUAUGAACAAAUAUCAGAUAAAGAUUGAAUUUAUAAAUUAGAAGAAUUCAAAAGCUUUGGUGGAAGCUCGGUACCUGUGUAUAUAUUAUUAGUUGCAAGAAAAUAAAGUAUUGAUUAUGUUUAACACUAAUAGUAAGAAAAGCAAUGAUAUUUUCUAUCAUUUAGAACAUUGGUAUUCAUAUAUUGGAGUAAGAUUUGUGAACAAAUGAAUAACAGUAGCUGUUAAUUUGGAGCUGGGCAUUUUUUCCUGAAUUAAGAUAUAUGUAUAUAUAUAUGCACACAUUCCUCUAUACAAAAAUAUAUAUGUAUGUAUGUGUUUAUGUAUGUAGACAUACAAAUUACAUGUGUACUGGAUUCUGUGUGUAUAUGUAUAUAUAUGUACAUGCAGAAAUGUGUAUGAAAAUUAGACAUAGUUUUAGGGUAAUAUACUAAUGAACUAAUUUAUCAGUCCUAAAGAAAAAUUCAGAGUAAAUAGAUUUGAAAAAGAAACAUGCAGUUUAGCCUAUAAGAAUUCCGUAAUAGGUUCUGCCCUUUUUUUCUGUUUGGCAGCUGUUUGCUUUACUCAGAGGGAGAUUUUUCAUUAUAAGGAUGCAAUACAUCAGCCCAUUCCAUUUAGGAUGAGGUGAGAGCAAAGGCAGAAGGAAUGUUGCAUUAAAGUAAAACCUGUUUGGAUGUGAUAUGAUUAGGUGACUGUGGGGAUGACUGCUUACUCCCCACUGUCACUGUGUCUGGCAGGCUCUUUCAUUAUUUAAGUUGAUUUUCUGAUGUUUUAUGGUUUUGCCGUUGGAAGCUGGGAAACGGCUUUGCCUGUCACCCGUUUGAUAGAGGUUAAGAGAACAUGGAUAUUUAUUUAAUUGUUAAGGAUAAUUAUUUAGUAUUCAUAGUAGUUAUUGUUGAAAUGUAGUUCCACCCUAUAUUUUGUGAGAUAAUUUGUACAAAAUAUUUUCAAUUUUGUAAGAAGAAAUGUGUGGCUUAUAGUGUUAAUGAUACAUGGUAGAUAAAUGGCUUCUGAUAUUGCUAAAGUUACUAAUGAUGUAUUUGGGUGAUGGAAAGCUGUACUUUCUUGGAAUAUUAUGGAGUGUGUGAACACUUAACAAACCCUUUCACUGUAGUGUAUUUUGUCAUAGUUUCUCUUCAUUUCAGUAUUGGAAGUUUGGUGAAAUUGAGAAAUAGUUAUCCAGAAACUUAUGGGUUACAUUGAUAUGUAGAUUAUUUCUUAUACUAGAAAAUACUAACCCUAACCAUGUUUAACUCAUUUGCUGAGGUUUGUCUAAAAUUUAUGUCACAUCAGCUUGUAUUUUGGAAGGGAAAUCUACAGUGGAAGGACUCAGCAGAUUUUUACUUAAGGAUAUGUACUAUCAGUUUGAUGAGUCUGGCUUCAGUUCGUAAAUGAUUCAAAUGUUAUUUUGGCACCACAGAGUGAACAGGAUAUAUGAAUCUUUUUUUUAUGACUUAGAUGGAGGAAAAUAAAUCACCAUUUUUGUUAAUCUUCUAGCCCAAUUUGUUUAGGAAAACUGCUCAAAAGGUUCUAUAUGUAUAGAUAUUAAAAGAAUAGAAAUAUAUAUGUAUAUGUAUACUAAGAGUGAUAGCCAGAUUAUGAGUCUACAUUUUAUUCCAAUUGUUCAGAGUGGCAAAACUGAUCUUAAGAAUAAAUAAACAAAUGACUAGAAUAAAUUAUAAGAGGUUCAUCUCCUGUGACCGUGGAUAACAAGUAGAGAAUAUUGCUCUCUGCAUUUGGUGUUGUCUUGAGAAGGAGAAAUACAUCUUAGCAUAUGGUUAACACUGCCCCAGUUCUUUGUUUGUGUGUUAUAGAACUGACUACAUUCCAUGAAUUCAUUACUAGCAUCACAGGGUUACCUUUUCCCUGUUUCUUUCCUUUUUUCCAAUUUUUAGAUCUUUUAUUAUGAGUCUGUUCAUAUUUUGUGUGUUUGUCUUCAAAGGGAGGGAGGGAGGCAUGUUCAGCUCAAACUUUUGAGGUGAAAGAUGUCAUGAUAUUCUUAAUGAUGUAAAAAAACUAUGUGAAAUUCAUCAUUUAUUUUGAAGUUAUGGAAUUGAUUAUUGUUUGGUAUAUAGUUGCUAACUUUUCUGUAGCUCUGUAAUGAUUUAUUUUCUUUCUGUUUCAAAGAGAAGUAUUUAUGCCAGAUAAUGUUAAUCUUUGUUGUGGUAGCUUCCUUGUCUUUUAUGUGUUUGUUGUUUUUUUCACUUCUGUGAGUCUCAAGUGUGUGAAAUGUUGAACAUAUUUGUGUGAAUUUCCUUACAGCAAAGUAAAAAAUAAUAAUUGUGAUUAAUUCACAUAAACUACAGAUUUGGAAUUGACAUUUUGCUUUAGUUCUUGAAGGAAACCAGUGAAAGUGAUAGUCUAUUUAUAUAUAGUUUAUAUUGAAAUACAGGAUAGUUUGCAGUGAGGUUCUUUUAUAAACACUAAGAGAACAGUUCAAUUUUUCUUGAGAUGUAAAUUGAUGAUGUGUUUCUUGUUCAUUAUAUGAGUUGCAUCAUUUAAGUUUUUUUUUCCAUUUUUCCUUCUUGAUCUUAAAAUGCUGUCUCUGUAUUUUGAGGCUGUUAUUUUCUAAACUGUCGCUAUUUUGGAUCUCAAAUAAGUUGUGUAUCAGUGGCCUCUAGUAGUGCUCGAGUAGAUAGUUACUGCCUUCCAUUUCUACCAGGUCAAUAAAUUUACUGUCUGUUUGUU